rnacentral:lncRNA from 1 species
GUUCACGCAUGCGCGGUGCAGCCUGCCGCCUCGGUUCGGUCGCUACGCAACCUCUCGCCGCUUUAAAUUUAAGUAUAAUUUCUUACCUAGUGAGUAGGCGACCUUGGUGGGACUGACUCUUCCCAGCUCUCCCGAGAAUGUAACGAUGUUGAACCAGACGAGAACAAUUUCCUUGAGCUUUAACUGCCUGUAACACUAGUUGGAGCCUGUUCUUGACAACACCUACAGUUGAGCAUCAAAGCAGCCUGAUAGCUACUGCUGUGUAAUUUGUAAGUUUUACUGCUUAAUUCAACAAACAUUUACUUUGCUAAAAGUAGUGUUGCACGCAUUGGAGAUAUAAUGAAAAGCGACCUAGACGAGAUCCCUAAAUUCUUGUUACUGUAAAGUGAGGUUGAAAAAUUCUCACCCCAUGCAUUUAAAUUCAAAAAGAAAAAAAGGGGAAAAAAAAGUCAUGUGGGUUGUCUAAAAAUAAACUGCAUUUAAAUUCAAUAAAGAAAGAAAGAAAAAGAAAAAUCCUUACCCAAGUGGUCGCAGUGAAGACUAAAUGAGAUGUCCCUGGUGCCCCACCCAAUUCCUAGGGGCUUUUGCCUAAGGCUUGACAGGGUCUGUCACACUGCAAGUGCUUAAUAAAUGUUUGUCCAAAAGCCAGGGGAAUCAGCACCUGUCACCUCUGUAUCAUUCUUAUCUGUCUAGGGGCAAGCCUGAUUUUAAGCAUUGAGGAUUCAGGACAAACUUUACCCUUUGACCCAGUUAAACAGGCAGAUGGGAGAAGUGUUUUUGCUGACUUGGGCAAUAGAAACCAUAUAUCCUGUUGUUGGAGUCCCAAGAUGAUAAAGAGCUUUGUCAGGGGCACCUCCUGGUGGAUCACUGAACCCAGACACCAGCCCAUGGCUUCUGACUCCCUGUGUUUCUGUGCCCAGAAGAAGUUGGGCGCAAAGGGUUUCAACGUGUACAUAUUUUAUGGAGGGUGUGUUUCAAACUGGCCCCUGGAACAACUGAUGUGUUUUAGCAAAUUAGAAGUAACAUCUGGGGCUGGCGAGAUGACUCAGUGGUUAAGAGCACCAACUGAUCUUCCAAAGGUCCUGAGUUCAAACCCCAGCAACCACAUGGUGGCUCACAACCAUCCAUAACGAAAUCUGAUGCCCUCUUCUGGAGUAUCUGAGGACAGCUACAGUGUACUUACUGUAAUAUAAUAAGUAAAUAAAUACAUAAUAAAUAAACAAAUAAAUAAAUAGAAAAAUAGAAG